AUUUAGGUAUAGCCUUUUUAUCUAUAUGGUAACUGUGAUCAGAAAAAAUAGUCUGACAGGUGAUGGAUUUUUGUUGACAACAUUUUCUUUGCAAAUUCCAAUGGAAGAAGAGUUGAGUUCCUUCUGGUGUUCCGAGGUGGAUCGGCACGCUGACCAAGGAGAUGGUCCACCAGAUCGAGGUCCUGGAGGCCGUGUUGGGUAAAUUUUAGAUGCCUAACGUUGCGGCUGCCACAGGUGGAUGCAGUUUAGUAGCAGCAAGAUCAGUGUUUUAUAGAAACCUAAACUCCCAUGCUCGAGAAAAAUGGGAGAAUAUAUAUGGAAUUUAGGUGUCAAGGCAAAUAUUUUGAAUAAAUACUUUAAAUCUA